rnacentral:rRNA from 1 species
UACGGGGGGAGCAAGCGUUGUUCGGAUUUACUGGGCGUAAAGGGCGCGUAGGCGGCCACCGCAAGUCGACUGUGAAAUCUCCGGGCUUAACCCGGAAAGGUCAGCCGAUACUGCGGGGCUAGAGUGCAGAAGGGGCAACUGGAAUUCUCGGUGUAGUGGUGAAAUGCGUAGAUAUCGAGAGGAACACCUGCGGCGAAGGCGGGUUGCUGGGCUGACACUGACGCUGAGGCGCGAAAGCGUGGGGAGCAAACAGG